UCCUUUCCGAUGAUGCCACUCGUCUGCUUCAAAUUUUUCCAUACCUCACUUCUGUGUCAGGUUUUCUAUACUCGCUCAUGGUGGAAAAUGUUUCCAGUUCAUUCUAGAUGACCCCAGUCACUUCAUGUUUUUCUUAGUCAUUUCACGUUGGAACUCAGUUGCUUGUGAUUUUGCAGGCUUUACUGUUCACCUCACUUUUCCUGGCAGCAGGAUUCCGAGGGAAUGACACAGCUGAUGGCAUCACCUGGGAGUUCCAGCUGUAUCAUGCCAGAGGGUAACAUCAAGUGCUCUUGUUGAGGACAACAUCCUUCCAGAUGAAACGACUGGCUCUACACCCAUUGUGGGGCUCAAACUCAUGACCGUUGAGUCUUUGAGUUGAGACCAGGAGUUGGAUGCUCAACUGACUAAGUCAUUCAGGCA